rnacentral:rRNA from 1 species
GACGAACGCUGGCGGCGUGCCUAAUACAUGCAAGUCGAGCGCAGGAAACUGACGGAACUCUUCGGAGGGAAGGCAGUGGAAUGAGCGGCGGACGGGUGAGUAACACGUAAGGAACCUGCCUCAAGGAUUGGGAUAACUCCGAGAAAUCGGAGCUAAUACCGGAUAGUUCAACGGACCGCAUGGUCCGCUGAUGAAAGGCGCUUCGGCCUCACCUUGAGAUGGCCUUGCGGUGCAUUAGCUAGUUGGUGGGGUAACGGCCCACCAAGGCGACGAUGCAUUGCCGACCUGAGAGGGUGAUCGGCCACACUGGGACUGAGACACGGCCCAGACUCCUACGGGAGGCAGCAGUAGGGAAUCUUCCACAAUGGACGAAAGUCUGAUGGAGCAACGCCGCGUGAGUGAUGAAGGUUUUCGGAUCGUAAAACUCUGUUGUAAGGGAAGAACACGUACGAGAGGAAAUGCUCGUACCUUGACGGUACCUUACGAGAAAGCCACGGCUAACUACGUGCCAGCAGCCGCGGUAA